CAGGGAGUAGUUUAGUUAGAAUAUCAGCUUUGGGUGCUGGUGGUGGGACUGUCUAGUCUCCUUCUUGA
rnacentral:tRNA from 1 species